GCGUGAUGACACGCGCUUCAACUCCGCUUCACUACACAGAAAGAGCGCUUCUUCUUUCGAAGUUUCAAACUCUCCUCUCACUUUCUCUCCUCUCAGUACUGUUUGUUUCCCGAUAUUUUUUCAAAAGGGAAAAGCAAGAGAGAACAAUGGUAUCAAGCGUUGAACUCGUUUAUCUUCGUUUGUAGAUUAACGAGUCUCUGGUUCUAUUUCUCGUAUCGUGUGUGCAUACUCGUGCUAGAGCGAGAUAUCGAUUGCGAAGUUUAGAGUGAAUGAGUGUGAUUGGGAGAGCGAUGCCGCGAUCCAAUUCCGCCGCGCACCACCACCGUCAGAGCUCCGACAACUUCAUCCUCGACGCUCACAGAAACUGGUUACAGUCUUCGACUUUCGCGCAGGAGUUCGGGACUCGAUCUUCGAGCUUGAGGAAAAUUGACGAUGAUCGUGUUUUGAGCAGUGGCUUGCUUGAUCUGCAUUCCUUAGAUACCGAGCUUUUACCUGAGACGUAUGGUGAUCACAAUGAAUACUUGACUAAUCACACUGUUCGGGGACAGAGUUUUGAUGACUAUGAGUCAAUCCUCCCUGGUAACAAACAUGGACAGAGGUCUCGGGGAUUGCCUGAGAACAAUUUCCUGAAAAGUGUCCCAACAGAAAAAGAAAGAGCAAACAAUGUUGCCAAGAUUAAAGUAGCGGUCCGGAAGAGACCCCUUAAUAAGAAGGAAAUAGCAAAGAGGGAGGAAGACAUUAUUUCUAUAGAUUCAAAUUUUCUCACAGUGCAUGAAAGAAAACUCAAGGUGGACUUAACAGAAUAUGUUGAGAAACAUGAAUUUGUCUUUGAUGCUGUGCUGAACGAAGAUGUUUCAAAUGAUGAAGUAUAUGCCGAGACUGUGGAGCCAAUUGUUCCGCUCAUUUUCCAACGAACAAAAGCAACUUGCUUUGCAUAUGGUCAAACUGGCAGUGGGAAGACAUAUACUAUGCAACCUUUGCCUCUCAAAGCUUCACAAGAUAUUUUAAGAUUAAUGCACAACACCUACUGGAAUCAAGGUUUCCAAUUGUUUGUUAGUUUCUUCGAAAUAUAUGGGGGAAAACUUUUUGAUCUCCUCAAUGAUCGAAAAAAACUUUUCAUGAGGGAGGAUGGGAAACAACAGGUUUGCAUUGUUGGCUUGCAAGAAUAUAGAGUAUCUAAAGUAGAGACAAUCAACGAAUUUAUUGAGAAAGGAAAUGCCUCAAGAAGUACUGGCACAACUGGAGCAAAUGAGGAAUCCUCUAGAUCACAUGCUAUACUUCAGCUUUGCAUUAAGAGAUCAGUUGACGGGACUGAAUCAAAGCCUGCUCGACUUGUGGGAAAACUUUCUUUUAUAGAUCUGGCUGGAAGUGAACGAGGUGCAGAUACUACAGAUAAUGACAAGCAGACUAGGAUUGAAGGGGCAGAAAUAAAUAAAAGUUUACUUGCUCUGAAGGAAUGCAUUAGAGCUUUGGACAAUGACCAAGGGCAUAUCCCUUUCAGAGGAAGUAAAUUGACGGAAGUUCUGCGAGAUUCUUUUGUUGGUAAUUCGCGCACUGUAAUGAUAUCAUGCAUUUCACCUAGCUCAGGUUCGUGCGAGCAUACUCUUAACACGUUAAGAUAUGCUGACAGAGUGAAGAGCCUGUCAAAAGGGAACAACUCUAGAAGGGAUCCUCUUUCUUCCUCAAACUUGAGAGAGUCCACUGUGUUGCCUGGGUCUUCAAUUUUAGCUCACGAUGAUACCUUGGAGGAUGAAAUAACGCAUGUUUCCAGUGACAGGAAUCGAUUUGGUUGGCCCAAACAUUCAGAAAGAGAACCCUCUCCUCCAAAUAAUGUGGACCGUGUCCCAAGUGGUAGAAUGGGGGGAAAUUUGGCGCCAUCUGUGUAUUCUGAUCCACCAAACGGUCCAAGAGGUAGUCAAAAUGACAGAACCGCAAAUGAAUAUGAUUACAUAGGACCCAUAUAUGAACAAGACAGAACAAGAAAAACGAUUAAGAGGGUGGAUAACAACCACUUAUCAGGUUUUGAGGAGAAGAAGAAGAUAGAAUCUCGUGUUAAUGUUGAUGCAUCACAUUUUCAGACUAAUCAUUCUGAUCCGGAUGAUAAUUUAAAUGCCCUCCUGAAGGAAGAGGAAGAUCUAGUAACAGCUCAUCGUAGACAGGUGGAGGAAACCAUAGACAUUGUUAGAGAGGAGAUGAAUUUACUUGCUGAAGCGGACCAACCAGGAAAUCAAUUGGAUGAUUAUAUUUCCAGAUUGAAUACCCUUUUAUCACAAAAGGCUACAGGAAUCUUUCAAUUGCAGACACAGUUGGCUCAGUUUCAGAGACGUUUAAACGAGUAUAAUGUUUUCGUAUCUUCUAGUAAUUGAUGGUGCCACUGUGGAAAUGAUUGGUGUGUCGUGGAUGAAGAAUUCUUCGUGCUCUUAGAUUUCGCUUCUAUGAUUUCAUUGGCGUGGUUUGUUUCUCAUUUGUUAGAGUGUUGAUGUUGACAAGAUUAUUGUGGAUUUUGGGGUGCCGAAAUAGGAAUCAAACCCGUCUUUGUUCUACACUUACUUGUUUUGACGGGUCACUGUUGUGACCUGAACUAUGUACACACAUAGAAAUGUGCUCUGUAGUGAUUCGGGUUAAUGAGUAAAGGAUAAAGAAUGAAGAGUCACUGCAAUCCCGGUGAAAUGCCUUGAUCGUUGUUUCCUUUGGCUUCAGUAGAUGUCAUGGUGUGCUUGUCAGAAAUUCAUUCUUAUUUGAAUUAUUAUCAGCAGUACAAAAUCCCCUCUAGUCAUAAUCUGUGGGUUGUUUCUUUGUUGCUUUCUUUUUAAAAUAUUUCCAAGCACACGCAGAUAAAUCAAUUAGUUUGGUACCCCUUGUAAUUGAUAAUUUCAUACGUAAGUUGCAAAGUUCCAAUU